AAUAAAAGCAGGUGAAGUGUUUUAAAUUAGGUAUAUAACUGUAAGGAACACAAUCGUACGCAUCAUUUUCUGAUCUUCAUAAUGUCAGCUAAAUGAAAGAUUUUGGAGGUGCUUUGCUUCUAAAGAAAUACCCAGAUGGAUUUUAGCAGCUGCAUUUGGGGAGAGCCCAGUGUAACCCAAGUAAAGAGCACUGACAACAGACAAAGUCCCUGAACCAUUUUACCCUGCUCUGUCCUUCACUCCUGCUCUGCACCACUCAUUCAAAUAACUUCCACAUUUUUUCCCUUCCUUGGACUGCAGCAUUUUUUUUGAAGCAGACAUUGCUUUGGUGCACUGACUUGAACAAAACAAGACAAAAUGAAACCAAAUAAUGCUGAGCACCAGGUACUCACUGCUUGGUAGGAGUCACUUGGCAAUUUUACAGAUGCUGAGAGUCUCAACCUUCAGCCUGCAAGGUUUUUCCUGUAAUAUGAGAAUUUAUCAGCUGGCUUUCAGAGCCACAUAGUCAUUGUUAUUCCAGGCCAAAGCUUAAACUCAAAAUCAGAGCUGCGAGGACUUAGCGUGAGCUUCCAGAGGUCAAACCCUGCAGUCUUUAGCCAGGCAAACUAAACCUCGGAGCCGGUAGGAUUUUGUCUGCGCAGGGACUGCGGCGUUUGCAGAGCACGAGCCAGGCUCCUGCAGAAGCCAAGGCAGGGAAGGAAGGAUAUUCCUGCCCAGAAUUCCAGCCCUGCCUGCCCUGAGCAUGAUGGAGAGCCACAAUCAAAUCAGAGCCGCCCAUCCCAGCUGUCAAGGGCCUCGCCAGGAAGGGAAUUUUGACCUGAGGGUACGGGGGAUCUCAGCAUCCUUACGGAACACGGCAUCCUCCAGCACGGAACCGCCGGAAUCCGAGGGGAACGUCCUCACCCGCCUGCAUGGGGAAGUUGUCAUCCCAUUUUCUGAGGAGCAGAAGUUCUCUCCACCUCAUCCCAUUUUCUGAGGAGCAGAAAUUCUCUCCACCUCAUCCCAUUUUCUGAGGAGCAGAAGUUCUCUCCACCAUGUGUUGCAUGGGAGGCGCGUCUUUGUGGGGAGAGGGCACGGUGACGGUACCAGCAACCAUGAAGCACUCACGGUAUUUUUUUUUACACAGAUUUUUUUUUUCUCCCCUCUCCUCGCACCCAAAUAUUUCUGGUUUUUUGCAGAGAGGGGGGUCAGGUGUUGAAGGUCUCCCCUGGAUGGUUUUUACACUGCUGUGUUUCUAAUAAAGCCAUCAAGAGCGCUACCAGGAGUGCCCUGCGUGGUUUUGAGCAAUAUAAGUCACUGCUUCAGAGGACUCUCUUAACUUGGGGCUGGAUGCACUCAAAAAUCAUCCAAGUUAUUCUCUCCUAAUUCAAGUCAGCUGAGGCAUCAAAAUGUCGGGCAGAUGGACAGGAUCUGCAGCCAGCCUGUUUUCUGCUGUUACUCACAUUGCAGUCAAAACUUACGAGACUUUUAUUGUAAUUGUUUUUUAUUUAAUCAGUGGUAUUUUGAGAAUUUAACCUUUAUGUAAGCAUACUAAAGGAGAUUCCUGUGUGCUUUCUAGUGUAAGAGAUUGUGCUCUAAGGAUCCUAACUUACCCUAAACUGCAUUAAACGGUGUACUUAUCUUAAAAUCGUUGUUUUUCUUUUUUCCUUUCCUUUUCUUUCUCCUCAUAUGUCUGUAAAGAAUAACUGAAUUUAUAGACAGUGGUUAAGGACAGUCACUAUCACAGUUGCUUGGUCAAGAAAGCAAAAUUAUUUGUAUUUGUUGUAUUUUCUCGGACUUAUUAACUUCAAUUGUGCUCCGUGUUAGGGAGACGCGAGAGAACAGAUAAAUAAGCAAAGUACGACCCAAGUUCAUACUUUCUCUUUUAUUUUUGCUGUGGCUUUUGCAGUCGAGGAGAGCCUCUGCCUCUCUCCUCCAGUGGAUGGCAGUUGAGUACCACGGAACGGAGCAGAGCUGACUUGCACCUCAUUGUAACUCUCUCAAGGAGGCAACCGCUGAUUGGAAUUAGCUGUGCUUUGCCUGUGCGAAAUAUCGCUCAGAAAUACCUGAAGAAUUGGAAAAGGAAGAAAUGGAAGGCUUUUCAAUUUAAACUGCUUUGUUAGCAGAGCAGGAGCUGAUCUAAAAGUUUGCUUCAGCAGCUGGGGGUGGGGGGAAAAGAGUCUCAUAUCCAUACACAAGUUUUCAAGUGUUCCUUUUUAUAUGUUAAUCUGAAUUUUCAGUACAUGGAUGCUAAUGAAGAAAAGUUCCUGAUUUUCAUUUUGUUUCCUGACCUCCACAGUCUUUAUGUUUUA